GGCUCCUGUCACAGGAGUGCCCAGCUCUAAAGUCCCUUAGAGGGCAUGGCUGCUAACCCACUGCACCCAAACAUCAGAGACUGGGAAGCAGAGGGUUUUCUGCAAGCACAACUUACAAAGGAGGUUUUCAAUUGAGAAAUCAUUCCAGCAUCGGUAGCUCCCACAGGCUACCUCACUUCCAUCUUUCCCUGGGAAGGGUGUAGCCACACACAUCUCCAGAAGAUCCCCAUGUCUAGGGAGUCGGUAGUUGAGCGCCUAUACAGCAAUAAGAAAUAGAUUGCCCCAGUCUAACUAGCCUGAAUAAAUAGUACAGUCCAUGCCUUCAUCCUUGGCUUGAGCUAGCGACAUUUUCAGAUUCAUAAUCUUUUCAUGGGGAGAGGCUGGAGUCCUCUGCCAAUUCCAAGAGGAGGACAGCAUUCUGCAGCUCCUUUCUUAGCUUGCUCCUGAGAUAAAUAUAUGCAAUCUCUCAGAGGGAAGCCAGAGGACCUGUCUGUGCCUAAGAAGGAAGCUGAUGUUCCCUGUGUCAUCUUCUGUGACUUGCCAUAGUGAUAACUCAUAACAAGACAUCUUCCCCUGCAAAAAGGAUGCAAAACUUCUGUUUAUUUUAUCGGGAGAGCAACUGUCUGUUGCCUUCUCAGCUUGUUCCAUUGAUAAUUCUAACCAUGCCACCUCUCUUUGGAAAGAGAUCAGAAGCCUCUGCCAGCAAGAAGAGAAAGUAGCACUUCUUGAGCCUUCCCCCCAUCUCUCACUCCUGAUACAGAUAUCUACAGCCUCUGGUAAGAAGGAAGUGAAGGACCACUUCAUGGUUGCCCCUUGCUUCCUGGUUUACUACAGUGAUGACUACAGACCAGAAAGCUACAUCUACAAGAAAGAUGUGCCAUUUCUUUCCAUAAGCAGGAGAGUGGAUCCUUUCUUCACCCUAUUUCUGACUUGUUCCUGAGAUAAGCUCUGCAGUCUCUCAGUAGAAAGAGGUGAGAGGACUUUGACCCCAAGAAUGGAAGGAGUGACACUCCCACAUCCUCUUGUCCGGUUAGCUCUACAGGUAUGCAAUGAUAACAAGUAGCAGAUAUCUCUAGAAGACUUGUCCAAAGUGUGGAGUCUCAUCACCAGAAAAUAAAAAGCUAUGGAUUCCUUCCAGACUAAUACGGUUUGAUCAAGCAAGACACCCU